rnacentral:rRNA from 1 species
UACGGAGGGAGCUAGCGUUAUUCGGAAUUACUGGGCGUAAAGCGCACGUAGGCGGCUUUGUAAGAUAAGAGGUGAAAGCCCAGAGCUCAACUCUGGAAUUGCCUUUUAGACUGCAUCGCUUGAAUCAUGGAGAGGUCAGUGGAAUUCCGAGUGUAGAGGUGAAAUUCGUAGAUAUUCGGAAGAACACCAGUGGCGAAGGCGGCUGACUGGACAUGUAUUGACGCUGAGGUGCGAAAGCGUGGGGAGCAAACAGG